ACCCUUAGGACCGGGAUAACCCUGGGAAACUGGGGAUAAUACCGGAUAUAUGGAGAUACCUGGAAUGGUUUUCCACUUAAAGCUCCGGCGCCUAAGGAUGGAUCUGCGGCAGAUUAGGUCGUUGUUGGGGUAACGGCCCAACAAGCCAGUAAUCGGUACGGGUUGUGGGAGCAAGAGCCCGGAGUUGGAUUCUGAGACACGAAUCCAGGCCCUACGGGGCGCAGCAGGCGCGAAAACUUUACAAUGCGGGCAACCGUGAUAAGGGAACCUCGAGUGCCUGUAUAUGCAGGCUGUCCAGGUGUCUAAAACACACCUGAAGAAAGGGCCGGGCAAGACCGGUGCCAGCCGCCGCGGUAAUACCGGCGGCUCGAGUGGUGGCCACUUUUAUUGGGCUUAAAGCGUUCGUAGCUGGGUUGUUAAGUCUCUUGGGAAAUCCGGCAGCUUAACUGUCGGGCGUCUAAGAGACACUGGCAAUCUUGGAACCGGGAGAGGUGAGGGGUACUUCGGGGGUAGGAGUGAAAUCCUGUAAUCCUCGAGGGACCACCUGUGGCGAAGGCGCCUCACCAGAACGGCUUCGACAGUGAGGGACGAAAGCUGGGGGAGCAAACCGGAUUAGAUACCCGGGUAGUCCCAGCCGUAAACGAUGCGCGUUAGGUGUAUCGGUGACCACGAGUCACCGAGGUGCCGAAGGGAAACCGUGAAACGUGCCGCCUGGGAAGUACGGUCGCAAGGCUGAAACUUAAAGGAAUU
rnacentral:rRNA from 1 species